GCAUAUCAAUAAGCGGAGGAAAAGAAACUAACAAGGAUUCCCCUAGUAACUGCGAGUGAAGCGGGAAGAGCUCAAAUUUUAAAUCUGGCGGUCCUCGUGGUCGUCCGAGUUGUAAUCUAGAGAAGCGUUUUCCGCGCUGGACCGUGUACAAGUCUCCUGGAACGGAGCGUCAUAGAGGGUGAGAAUCCCGUCUCUGACACGGACUACCAGGGCUUUUGUGAUGCGCUCUCGACGAGUCGAGUUGUUUGGGAAUGCAGCUCAAAUUGGGUGGUAAAUUCCAUCUAAAGCUAAAUAUAGGCGAGAGACCGAUAGCGAACAAGUACCGUGAGGGAAAGAUGAAAAGAACUUUGGAAAGAGAGUUAAACAGUACGUGRAAUUGCUGAAAGGGAAACGCUUGAAGUCAGUCGCGUUGGCCGGGGAUCAGCCUUGCAAUCUUGUUGGGUGCAUUUCCUGGUUGACGGGUCAGCAUCAAUUUUGACCGUCGGAGAAGGGUUGAGGGAAUGUGGCAUCCUUCGGGGUGUGUUAUAGCCUUUGAUCGUAUGCGACGGUUGGGAUUGAGGAACUCAGCAUGACCCCUCGUGGGUUUGGGGCUUCGGCUCACAUCCAUGCUUAGGAUGCUGGCAUAAUGGCUUUAAGCGACCCGUCUUGAAACACGGACC
rnacentral:rRNA from 1 species